UGGAACACCGGGUCGGCGUCAGGUAUGAACGCUGCCUACACACUUGCUGAGUAUUCCUGAGACUUUCCCAGAAGGGAACGGCCUGGGGUAGAAACAAGGGGAUCUGGACUGUGUCAGUGUAGUGUCUUGGGAAAGAUAGAUCAAAGAGAGUUUUGUAGUCUGCAAUCAGGAAUAAAAGCUGGACGCAGAGUGGACUCUGCACCUCAGUCCAAUAGAGGCUGCAGAUCCCCCGACCCAUUGCACCAGAUUUCGUGUUGUUUUCAUUCUCGUCACUCACUCCCGGACCUUUGGGACAACAAUUGCCUGGAGCCCAACGUUGGGCUGGAGCGCAAGACAGCUACGAGCGAAAGUGAAAAUACAGCGCCGCAGAACCUGGGACAGUUGAGAAGCCUCUGAAAAUUCCCGCUGGAGAAGGUCUAGAACCUGUGUGGAUUCCAGCUCGUAGAGUAAAACUGAGCGGAAACAACCAGUGACUCCAGACAACCUCAUCAUGGUUAUGUUUGCCCUGAUAACCAUCGCAAAUAAUUGCCUUGUUACAGACCCCAAGGCCAGACCCAGAAGGGAGGAUGACUGGGAUCAUGAAAGCAUGGACCUUGGAACACCAGUGUCACUCGGGGCUCCCUGCUUCUUGGAGACUGGGGUGUGACUUAACUCCAGCCCCAUCUGGGGCUCCUGGCCCUGCUCAGAACCUUCCCAUGGCUCCUGUGGCCCCAGACCUCACAUUUCCUCUUCCCAAGUUCCUCAAGGCCUUCUCGGUCUGCUCACUGCCGUCCUGACCCGAGUUUGGUUUCCACAAGAAGCCUAGCAUCAUAUGGGCGUACACCAAGUCCUCUCCCCAUCUUCAGGCUCUCUGACCCUUAGCUAUGUGGUCCACCCUACCCCCACCUAGAAUUCUUGGAAAGAAAAUUUUCUCCAUCUCACACCAGCAUUGCCUGUCCUCUUGACAUUUCCUUAAAAUGGAAGCUGAGCCUCUCCCUCCUUGCCCAGCCUUCCUUUCUGUAAUCUUAGGGGUCCCCGCUCCCUGGUCCCAUCCUCAAUCCCAUACUUUCUAAAUGCAGGGCUCCCGCACCCCGACACUGACUCUUAGGAUUCUGGUCCUCCAGGGUCCGGAUGUUAAUGGUGUGACUCCACGUAACUUUACUCUGCUAACGUCUUCCUGGAAUACAGAGUAUUAUUUGUUCAUGUGGUCCACCGAGAGCUUCUGCACUUCUUUUUAAACUGCACUUACACCUGUCCCUCCAUUCCUUAGUGGCCCGUCUCUUCCUCUGUGUCAGCUUCCUCCAGAAUUUUCUUUCCACGGCUUAGAGCAUUCUCCUGGGUUCUGUUCACAAUCUCCCCCUCCUUCAGAAAAGUUGGCUGCACACCAGAAUUCUUAGAGCCCAUUUUCCCCGCUGACUUCUGUUGUUCUCCCGGAAAAACCUCCCAGCAGCUUGUUUGGGAGCCUCCAGGGGGGAUGGUGGCCAGCCCUCCCACAUCACUGGCAAUGUCUCCUUUCGUCCCCAGUCAAGCGCAGAGCUCCCUCUUCUCCCCGGGACCAGCUAGAACGACUCUCACUGCAACACCGAGAAGUCCGUCUGGAAGGGCUGCGCUUCCUCUGCACCAGGAGGCAGAGACAGAAGCUCCAGGCUGGGAAGGGCUGAGCCCAGACGAGCCGAUGGGAAGAGUUGAGCUGGGAAGGACGGAGGGGGCGGGUGCUCUGGUCCAGCUGCCUCGCUGGGUGUCCACUGCCGGCCUGGGCCGCAUCCAGCACUCCUGGUGACUCAUCAGCUACUCUCAGUCCUAGGGGUUGUAAGGUCAGAGGUCAUGGCCAAGGGCUCCUGGAGAGGAAGUGACUGACUGUACAGGAUGAAUGAUACCUGGGGGCAGGUGUAGAAUGAGAAGCCCCAGUUCUCCGGACACAGAGCUGGGCUCUGCAGGUCUGCCUUCGGAUACCUACUGAGCAGCCACUUCCGGCGGCCAGAGCAGAGGCGUGGAGAAACCAGCUCCAGCAUCCCCCACAGGGUGCAGACCCGCGGCCAACCACGUUCCUCCUCCCCCAUCAACCCUCCAGGGAAAUAAUCGACGGUGCUAAUUACUGCUCACGAAUGGCUCCUGGUAAGUCAGGGUGCAGAGGCUCUCCCGGCUCUCCUGCCAGGAGGACAGAAGGCUCUAGGGGAGUCGGCCGGCAGCUGGGACUGGGGCACCCCUCUGCACGGGGGCCUGGGGAGAGAGAGAU